GGGAGAAAUAACCCGGCAUGAAGGACCCUAAUGGAAGUGCGUUGCCCCGUUGGCUCGGCGCAUCCAGUUGUCUGUCCCCCUUUGCCUUCUCGGGGACCCCAGAAAUGGCCAAGAUGACGGGACUGUGAAUGUCACUCCCAGCGGCCAGGAAACAGCAGCAUUCAAGAAACCGCAAGAACUCACUCACAGCUGGCUUUCUGCAACCAGAAGAUGCAGCCCAAGGCCACUCUGUGGACUAAGUAUAACUGGAGCUCAAGUUGCCCCACCCUAUCGGGGCUGCUGUCUGCAGCUGGCCUGACUGAACAGGGAAACCGUGCACAGCCAGCUGAAGUGUGGGAGCCAUGGUCUGUCACCAUGCAUGCAGAGUGCAUGGGAUCCACUGUCCAUCUGUCACCAUGCAUGUGUAUAUGAAAUUCACUGUCCAUCUGUCUCUAUACAUGAUGAGUGCAUGGGA